UCAAACGAUCAUCCCCAAGGCUAAUCAUAACGGUUUCACUUGGCACAAACGCAAAAGAAACACAAAAAACACAAUCAUAACAGAAUUAUGAAAGUGUGGAAAACACAAAAUAGAAAUAAAAAGGAUAGAUUCGUUGGGUUGCCUCCCAACAAGCGCUAAUGUUUAACGCCCUUAGCUAGGCAUAAGGUGAUGGAAUCACGUAUAGUC
rnacentral:lncRNA from 1 species